UUCAGGAACUGAUGCAACAGAUUUUAAAGAAGCAGUGUCCUAUUUGUCUGCUGGAGUUGUUAGAUAAUGGCUGGGCAGAAGCUCGAAGCUAGGACGUCAAUCUAGACUUCUCACAUGAGUGGUGCGAACUCAACUACAGUUCCAAUUGUUACCGGGGAAAGGGAAAGAAAAAGUCGCAAGAGCAUGGUGAGCAGAAGCAGCUUAAUGAGGAGCCACUGCAGGUGGUGGGGGGCUGAGAAGAGGUUAAAACUAACAAAGAGACCAGGGUAAUUUCUCCCAUUGCACUUUGCCUGGGGAAACCCUUGCUAACUUUUCUUGUGGCAAAGUAAUCAAUUGACAAUGCAUUUGACACAGAAACCAAGUAUUUCAUCAUGUCUAUUGUUAAGAAACAAACAUUGUCCACUAUUAAAGGUGAUAAAGAGAAAUUGGAAAACUUCUCUUCAUGAAGCAUUUUUUGCAGAUUUAGUUGAACUGGACAAACUUCAAAUAAGAGCAGUGACUCUAUAUUGUGGAGUAAAAAGUAAGGACAAGCACAGAGCUGCUCUCACAAAGACAGCAUAACACAUAAUGAAAUACAUGAUAGAGAGCUGAAAGAAUGUGCAACUAUUCAACUCCAGUUUGUAACUCCAUUUUUAAAAAGUACAUAAGUACGCCUGCUCCGCGGCUCACUAGGCUAAUCCUCUGCCUGUGGUGCCGGCACCCCAGGUUCUAAUCCCGGUUGGGGCGCCAGAUUCUGACCUGGUUGCUCCUCUUCCAGUCCAGAUCUUUGCUGUGGCCUGGGAGGGCAGUGGAGGAUGGCUCAGGUCCUUGGGCCCUGCACCCCAUGGGAGACCAGGAGGAAGCACCUGGCUCCUGGCUUCAGAUCAGAGCAGCGCGCUGGCUGUAGCGGCCAUUUGGGGGGUGAACCAACGGAAAAGGAAGACCUUUCCCUCCGUCUCUCUCUCUCUCUCUCUCACUAACUCUGCCUGUCAAAAUAAAUAAAUAAAUAAAUAAAGUACAUAAGUAAAAAAGUAUAUUGUAUACAUAACUGAAUAAAAGCCACACAGAUGAAAGAAUUGCAACCAUGGUUAGUUUCUGUGUAUUUGUGUGUGAGUGGCUGUGCAUGGUGUCUCUUAGAACAAAUGAGUUGAAUGCAAAUGGGUUUGCAGUGAGCCAGGCAGCACUUGACAAUGCAUGUUUUAGUUGAUACAUUUAUUGAACUUAACAUUCUUUGUUCAUCCUAAUCUUCCAUGCAUAAAACAU